ensembl:snRNA U6 U6 spliceosomal RNA
GUGCUCACUUCAACAGCGCAUAUACUAAAACUGGGACGAUACAAAGAUUCACAUGACCCCUGCAAAGGAUGACACACAAAUUCAUGAAGCAUUGAGUAUUUUU